UCAAUCUGUCUAUCCUGUCCCUUGCAG
rnacentral:piRNA from 1 species